CACGUAGGAGACGAGCGUUAUCCGGAUUUACUGGGUGUAAAGCGCGUGUAGGCGGCUGGGUAAGUUGGAUGUGAAAGCUCCUGGCUUAACUGGGAGAGGUCGUUCAAAACUGCCUGGCUAGAGUGCAGCAGAGGGGAGUGGAAUUCCGAGUGUAGCGGUAAAAUGCAUAGAUAUUCGGAAGAACACCAGUGGCGAAGGCGGCUCUCUGGGCUGCAACUGACGCUCAGACGCGAAAGCUAGGGUAGCGAACGGG
rnacentral:rRNA from 1 species